GAUGAACGCUGGCGGCGUGCCUAACACAUGCAGGUCGAACGGUCGACUUCGGUCGAUAGUGGCGCACGGGUGAGUAACACGUGGUUGAUCUACCCUCAAGUAGGGGAUAACGUUCCGAAAGGAAUGCUAAUACCCUAUAAGCUCCCGGUGUUUAGAAGACUGGGAGAAAAGUUCCGGCGCUUGAGGAGGAGACUGCGAAC
rnacentral:rRNA from 1 species